CCCUUAGAUGUUCUGGGCCGCACGCGCGCUACACUGACGAUGGCAACGAGUUUUUCCUUCGCCGAAAGGUGUGGGUAAUCUUUUGAAACAUCGUCGUGCUGGGGAUAGAUCAUUGCAAUUUUUGAUCUUGAACGAGGAAUUCCUAGUAAGCGCGAGUCAUCAGCUCGCGUUGAUUACGUCCCUGCCCUUUGUACACACCGCCCGUCGCUACUACCGAUUGAAUGGUUUAGUGAGGACUCCUGAUUGGCGCCGCCGCCCCGGCAACGGAGCAGCGGACUGCCGAAAAGCUGUUCAAACUUGAUCAUUUAGAGGAAGUAAAAGUCGUAACA
rnacentral:rRNA from 1 species